AUGCUGCUCAGAUCAUCCUCAUCCGCUUUCCUGUUAAACGGAGACCCUAGCAUCCCUCUCAUCCACCGCCGUGGGCUGCGGCAAGGAGACUCGUUGUCCCUGCUGCUGUUUAUCCUUGCCAUUGACAUCCUCCACUGGCUCAUAACAAAAGCUGCUGACGACGGCAUUCUU
rnacentral:rRNA from 1 species